rnacentral:rRNA from 1 species
AUUGAACGCUGGCGGCAUGCCUUACACAUGCAAGUCGAACGGUAACAGGUUAAGCUGACGAGUGGCGAACGGGUGAGUAAAGUAUCGGAACGUGCCCAGUCGUGGGGGAUAACGUAGCGAAAGUUACGCUAAUACCGCAUGAGAUCCAUGGAUGAAAGCGGGGGAUCGCAAGACCUCGCGCGAUUGGAGCGGCCGAUAUCAGAUUAGGUAGUUGGUGGGGUAAAGGCCCACCAAGCCGACGAUCUGUAGCUGGUCUGAGAGGACGACCAGCCACACUGGGACUGAGACACGGCCCAGACUCCUACGGGAGGCAGCAGUGGGGAAUUUUGGACAAUGGGCGCAAGCCUGAUCCAGCCAUGCCGCGUGCAGGAUGAAGGCCUUCGGGUUGUAAACUGCUUUUGUACGGAACGAAAGGUUCUGCCCUAAUACGGUGGGAAUAUGACGGUACCGUAAGAAUAAGCACCGGCUAACUACGUG